ensembl:snRNA U1 U1 spliceosomal RNA
UUACUUACCUGGCAGAGGAGACACCACGAUCAUGAAGGUGGUUUUCCCAGGGCAAGGCUUAUCCUUUGCACUCCGGAUGUGCCGACCCCUGCGAUUUCCCCAAAUGUGGGAAACUCGACUGCAUAAUUUGUGGUAGUGGGGGACUGCAUUUGCGCUUUCUCCUG